GGCGAGAUGGCCGAGCGGUCUAAGGCGCCAGACUAAGGUGUGUGGAAGCAUUCCAUGGUAAGCUUAUCUGGUCCGAAAGGGCGUGGGUUCGAAUCCCACUCUCGUCA